rnacentral:rRNA from 1 species
AGUUAAAAAGCUCGUAGUUGGAUCUCAGGGUGAGCUCAGUUGGUCGGCCCAUGAGGUCAGAACUGGCUGUCUCUCCCUUGUUUCUGAAUCCCGGCCGGAGUUUAUUCUUCGGUUGUGGACUUCAGAUCGUUUACCUUGAAAAAAUUAGAGUGUUCAAAGCGGGCGUUUGCUUGAAUACAUUAGCAUGGAAUAAUGGAAUAGGACCCUGGUCCUAUUUUGUUGGUUUUGAGGACUAGAGUAAUGAUUAAUAGGGAUAGUUGGGGGCAUUCAUAUUUAAUUGUCAGAGGUGAAAUUCUUGGAUUUAUGAAAGAUGAACUUCUGCGAAAGCAUUUGCCAAGGAUGUUUUCAUUAAUCAAGAACGAAAGUUAGGGGAUCGAAGAUGAUCAGAUACCGUCGUAGUCUUAACCAUAAACUAUGCCGACUAGGGAUUGGGAGCGGUUUGUUCAUUGACCCUCUCAGCACCUUACGAGAAAUCAAAGUUUUUGGGCUCCGGGGGGAGUAUGGUCGCAAGGCUGAAACUUAAAGGAAUUGACGGAGGGGCACCACCAGGAGUGGAGCCUGCGGCUUAAUUUGACUCA